ACAGAUCCGUGUUAUAGGCUGCUGUCUGCGGGGGGAUAUAUUUCAGCUGCAUCUUGGGGUUUGUGUGAGCCUUUGAAAAGUAUGAAGAGCAAAGAGAGGACAUCAGAAAUAACAUUAACCAGGCUCGCCCUGGUCUGAGGGACAGCUGCAGAGGGAAGAGAGAGGACAUGCAGCAAAGCUGAACAGAGCACGCUGUUCCAGAAUCAGUCAGAAAAGAACACUGGCGUCCUGUCCCACCAUGCAGGCUCUUUGGGUUGGGCUCUGUCAUUACCUCCACUGCUGGCAGAAAGGACUGUCAAGAAGACGCCCCAAAUUACCUGUGGGAUCAACACUCAUUGUCCAUGUAUUUGUACGGUGGUAAAAAUAGACGGGGACAUGUUCUGUGCAAUCGUGACCUAUGCUGCCUCGCACAGUCGAGAAAUAAGCAAACACGGGGAACAACAGAGGAGACGAAGGAUUUGGACAGAGCGUGUUGUUGGUUUUGCUUUCCUGCUGUGUGUAAGUUGCAAAGAUCAUUACUUGAAGUUCCAAAAAAAGCUUUUCCUUUGACUCCAGUGGCUCUCCACACAGCCGCCCUUCAGAGAAGAUGUGAACUAAGAGUCGAGGAACGUCAUUACCUGAAAACUAACACCAGGAACUAGCCUGGUGUCGGGCCAAAAUCAUAGACUCAAUAUAAAGAUGGACGACGUGACGGUUCUCCUAAAGUGAAGCCAACACACCUCAAUCGCACCCUGGUGGCUGUCUGCGAUGUUAGCAAACGGGACAUGGACCAGACGAAUGUGUUCAUUUUUCAGGGUCGCAAGGGGAGCUGGGGUCCAAUCGCAGCCGACUGGGCGAGAGGUGGGGUUCACCCUGGACAGAUCGCCAGUCCAACACAGAACUGAACUAUACUGUAGAGAGAAACAACCAUCCACCCUCACAUUCACACCUACGAGCAAUUUAGAGUGUCCUGCAUGACUUUGGACUGUGGGAGGAAGCUGGAGUAU